rnacentral:rRNA from 1 species
GACGAACGCUGGCGGCGUGGAUUAGGCAUGCAAGUCGAACGGUAUCAUCCUUUCGGGGGUGAGAGAGUGGCGAACUGGUGAGUAACACGUAGGUUAUCUACCCUCAAGACGGGGACAACCCAGGGAAACUUGGGCUAAUACCGGAUGUGAGCAACUUUUAGUUGUUUGAAAGGUGGCGUAAGCUGUCGCUUGGGGAUGAGCCUGCGUCCUAUUAGUUAGUUGGUGAGGUAACGGCUCACCUAGGCAAUGAUAGGUAGGCGGCCUUAACGGGUGGUCGCCCACACUGGGAUUGAGAUACGGCCCAGACUCCUACGGGAGGCAGCAGUCGAGAAUAGUCUACAAUGGUCGGAAGACUGAUAGUGCGACGCCGCGUGAACGAUGAAUCCCCUCGGGGUGUAAAGUUCUUUUAUAUGUGAGCAGUGCUUCUUAUAUUAACAGUAUGGGGAGAGAGAUAUUAGCAUAUGAAUAAGCAACGGCUAACUCCGUGCCAGCAGCCGCGGUAAACUCG